rfam:Clostridium acidisoli DSM 12555 genome assembly, contig: EJ29DRAFT_scaffold00001.1
GCGGGUGUAACUCAAUGGUAGAGUGUCAGCCUUCCAAGCUGAUUACGAGGGUUCGAUUCCCUUCACCCGCU